AGACAUCCAGAGUCUGCGAGGAAAAGUGAAACUCAGCCAAGGGCAGCUGAAGUUUAAAAAAAAAAAAAAAAAAAAAGUGAUCAGCUAUUUCUCAUAGUGCAGCUCUGAGAAUGUUUCCUGUUUGUAUCCGUCGGAACUCCUCGACAUAUAGCCACACCAUGAAAUCUUGACCACAGCUCCUAGCCAAACUUCUUCUUUCUUUCUUGUUUUUUCUCCAAAAUAAAAGUUGCCCAGCUGUUUUGCAGUCACUGUGGAAGUGCCUUUGGAAAGUUUGUUGGGUUGAAAGGACAGCGCACAGUUUAAUGAAGAUGGAUAGAUCUAGUUUGGCUGGCUGGCUGCACUUCAAAACGUUCUGAAUGGAAUGAAUACAAUAGGCAGGGAUCAUCAAUCCUAACUCCUCUUUUUCUAUACUUCUACUUCUUUAUAUGCCCAAAGGAGUACCAUUAUUGGAGGCUCCCUGGGGCACUACUGUGGAGUUGUGGUUGUCAAGAGCAGAUGUGAAAGCAUGCAUGAACUCCUAUGGUAUCCCGGGGAUUUCUAUAGUAUGAUGUUGUGGUUCGGUGCUCAAGAUCAUGGAGAACAAUGUUUUAAUAAGUGAUUGAUUAGGGAUCUCUCUAAAUAAAAAUUGUACAAAAUUA